CUGUGCAAGAUAGUAUGAAACGGGAUUGUCUCUCUAGUCGCUCUAGAAGGCAUUUGACACCUCAGUUACAUUUUCACUACCGAAAUGACUGAGGGUGGCUUGUCAUUUUUGACUAACAGUCGGGUUAGGCCAUGGGAUGUGGAAGUUCCUCCAGGAUUAGCCUGGCAUACAUAAAUACAAAGAGGAGGUGAACGGGGCCUUUAAGAAUAAUACCGAUAUAUAAGGUAUCGAGUGUGUUUUCAAAUUUUAAAGUUUUAGUUGGUUUGUGCAGUGAUGCACCUUGAUUCUAUUCAGCCUGUAUGUACUUUAAAAACCCCUUUUCUGAUGAGGUUGCCAUUGUUUUAAACAAUGUAUAUGGUGACAAUUACCGAAUAGUCUUGGUUAAAACCACUCCUUGUUCUAAUCACUGUUAAAACCUUGUCUUUUCAGGGCAGACAGACAUGUAGCUGUGAAAAUACUAAGAAAUGUUCCUUGGUACUCUAAAGCAAUUCAUAACGAAAUACAGGUGCUACAGGACUUAAAAAAGUCGGAUCCCAACAGGACACAACACUGUGUCCAGAUGUUGGAAUGGUUUGAGUACCAAGGGCAUGUCUGCAUUGUUUUUGAGCUGCUGGGACUCAGCACCUAUGACUUUAUUAAAGGGAAUUGCUUCUGGCCAUUUACGCUGGAGCACAUCAGACAGAUGGCUUAUCAGAUCUGCAAAUCUGUGAACUGUAAGUAGGUUUCCUUUUUGCUUUAUUUGUUACAUUUUCCCCACAGAAUUUGCUAACUGUGUGUGUUACCUUGCAGUUUUGCACCAGAACAAGUUGAUACAUACAGAUCUGAAGCCAGAAAAUAUUUUACUUGUGAAUUCUGACUACACAUACGAAUAUAACCUCAAACUGGUAAGUUGCUGUCCUCUUCCCCACCUCCCCCUCAGCUCUGGUCUGGGUUUACUUGGUCACUUGCAGCCCCUUGUGUGCCGUUUCAGGAACGCUAUGAACGGAGACUAAAGAAUACGGACAUCAAAGUUGCGGACUUUGGGAGCGCAACGUAUGAUGACGAGGAUCAUAGCCGUUUGGUGUCUACAAGACCUUACAGAGCUCCUGAAGUGAUCCUAGGUCAGUAAGACAUCUGUUCGGCUGCUCUUGAGCAUAGGACAUUCUGCCUGCUAUGGAACUGCCACAGCUGUGUCGCCUGUCUCGAGCGCUUGAGCUGUGGAAGUGUUUGCAGUCUGAUAUACAUGUGAACCUUCUGCAUCUUUUCACAGCGCUGGGGUGGUCACAGUCAUGCGAUGUUUGGAGCAUAGGAUGUAUCCUCAUAGAAUACUACCUUGGACACGCAGUAUUUGGGGUAGGUAACUGUGAAACUCCAAAGGGUGCAGCAUGUAUAAUGCUCCUCAGCUUGGUGAAAAUAUGCUCCAGGGAGGUGGGGACUAAGGGGAAAGGUCUGUGCCAGAAACGAAGCUGCAUUUCUCUGCAAUGCCAAGUUGAAGAGAACAGAAGCUGCAGGCACAAAGGAACUAACUUCCUCAGCAGAAGAGUGCUACAAGUUGCUUCCAGUAAACAUUGUGGCAGCAGCUCGAUCGGAAAGACCACCCUGUGAACAUUUGUAACGCGCAAGCCACACCAGUAACAGAUGAGCUUCCUCUAUCAGCAUCAGCAAAUACUACUCAAAUAACUGAAUUCUGUCAUCUUGACAGUAUUGCUGAAACUUACAAACAAAGAAGAGAAAGGAUAAGGGAGGGACAAAUAAGGGAAAAGAAACUUCAGUGCCCUGUAACUUCCUUCAGGAAACAGAUGACUAGAGCCUCUCUAUUUUCCUUAAUCUGAAAUGAGUUGCAGGGUACAGUCAAGAAUGAAGUGUGGUUCUUGAUAAUUUCCUGUUAACGACAUA